CCCAACCCCGCCUACCCACUGCGGGGGACCCCAGACUGAGUUAGGCUGCAGAUUAACGCCUGAAUCCAGGUUGUGCGAAGCCCACCAUUCUUCUAUAUCCUUGGUGAUCUAGAAGAUUUAUAUCUUAAGUUUCAAGAGCCGUUUUUCCUCUCAUUUAACGUCUUCCUGCUUAUUUAAUCUUUCUAACACCGUAGACCAAAGUCGGUGUCUUUGAAGCUGUUAAAUCAGGCAAACUCCUGGGCACUCCAACUGCGGGGUCCUCACGGUCUUCUCUGCUGUCUCUGGUUUGGUCCGAGGGGACCCGGCGCCGAAUCACUGACCUGCCCAGGUGUCGAGAAAAUGAUCCACAGUCUAUUUCUCAUAAACUGUUCUGGUGACAUAUUUCUAGAGAAGCACUGGAAGAGUGUUGUGAGCCAGUCUGUCUGUGAUUAUUUCUUUGAAGCUCAGGAAAAAGCUGCUGAUGUUGAGAAUGUACCACCUGUCAUUUCAACACCUCACCACUACCUCAUCAGUAUCUACCGUGAUAAGCUCUUCUUUGUGUCUGUCAUACAGACUGAGGUACCACCUCUCUUUGUAAUUGAGUUCCUACAUCGAGUUGCUGACACUUUUCAGGACUACUUUGGUGAGUGUUCAGAGGCUGCAAUUAAGGAUAAUGUGGUCAUAGUAUAUGAACUCUUAGAAGAAAUGUUAGACAAUGGAUUUCCACUGGCUACUGAAUCUAACAUUUUGAAAGAAUUGAUUAAACCACCAACAAUUCUACGUUCUGUUGUCAACUCUAUUACAGGCAGUAGUAAUGUUGGGGAUACACUCCCCACUGGGCAGCUGUCCAACAUCCCAUGGCGUCGGGCAGGGGUAAAAUACACAAACAAUGAAGCCUAUUUUGAUGUCGUUGAAGAAAUAGAUGCAAUUAUAGAUAAAUCAGGAUCUACAGUCUUUGCCGAAAUUCAGGGAGUCAUUGAUGCUUGCAUUAAGCUAUCUGGAAUGCCUGAUCUCUCCCUUUCCUUCAUGAACCCCAGGCUUCUGGAUGAUGUCAGCUUCCACCCCUGCAUCCGGUUCAAGCGCUGGGAAUCUGAAAGAGUUUUGUCAUUUAUUCCUCCAGAUGGAAAUUUCCGACUCAUAUCAUACCGUGUCAGCUCACAAAAUCUAGUGGCAAUACCAGUAUAUGUAAAACAUAAUAUCAGCUUUAAGGAGAACAGUUCUUGUGGCAGAUUUGAUAUAACAAUUGGACCAAAACAGAACAUGGGAAAAACUAUUGAAGGAAUUACAGUGACAGUUCACAUGCCAAAAGUUGUGCUGAAUAUGAACCUGACACCAACACAAGGCAGCUAUACAUUUGAUCCAGUCACCAAGGUACAGCCACUUCACAUCAAGAGUACUAACAUGGGAUGUAGGGAAAAUUACUCCUCAGAAGCUCCCAAGUCUUAAAGGACUGGUAAAUUUACAGUCUGGAGCACCCAAACCAGAAGAGAAUCCAAGCCUCAACAUACAGUUCAAGAUCCAGCAGCUUGCUAUUUCAGGCUUAAAAGUAAACCGCUUGGACAUGUAUGGGGAGAAAUAUAAGCCAUUUAAAGGAGUCAAAUAUGUCACAAAAGCUGGAAAGUUCCAAGUGAGGACAUGAGAAGAGGCCAAAAUUUCUCAAGAUCAGUUUGUUUUCCAAGUGUCAUUACAAUUUAUUACUAUUAGGUACCAAGUGGGUGGGAAUACGUAUUCUAGUUAAAGCAUUUGUGUCGAGCUACAUACCGCUAACAAAGUAGCUUAGUAAUUAAUGUAGGGUUCUUAAGGAGCUUUAAGCUAAGGAAACUUUUUUAAUGACUUAGCUUAUUUUGUAUCUUUUCACUUAGGAAGAUUUUGGAGGUAAUUUCUUCCACAGUGGGGUACCACCUGGAUGCUGUACAUUGUAACAGGAAAGGCAGAAACUACAGUGAUAACCUCUCCUAAAACAAGUUAACUGGUCUCAUCCAGCAGGAGCGAUCUUAAUCUGUGACAUGAUGUGUCAGGUGCAGUCAAAUGUCACACCUUCUGAUCUUAGCCAUCCCAAAUCAGUGUCUCUCCCAACAGAGGGAAUCCUUCCCCACCGCCCAAGAAGUUUACAAAAAACUGCCUCUUCAAGUGUUUGCCUUAUUCAGCUUUUCACUUGUGCCAUUAAGCAAGCACUGUAGCAAAAGCCACAUCCACAUGGCCCUGGCAGGGAGCACUGCUGCUCCAUGCUCCAUUCUCACUGUACUUGGUAUUGUAUUUUUUAUAAAUAAGAUUUUUAUGUAAAGCUCAGAUUUUGAUUUACAGGGACCUUGCUGCAGUAAAUAACAUCUCAAUUUGUGCCACUGGUUCAGCUGUUAGCAUAAUAAAUAUCAUUUGUAUCAAAGGGGCAAAUGCUUUAUUAAGGUAGUAAAAGGGAACACUACUUCUGCUUUUAGGAAGUUUUUGCAAGCACAAGCAUUUGCACUUUUAAGCAAAUUAAAGUAGUAAAAGAGAAACUUAAGUGAAACCUUUGUCAUCUUCAUGUUUUAUAAAGCUUAUCUAAUACCACUUAAACCAUAGUCAGCCUAAAUGCUUCAUGCCCCAGUUCAGCAAAAGGAGGAAAACGUGCCUGCCUCACUAUGCUCAGUCUUUAUUAAUCUUUUAUCUUUUUGUUGCUGUUCUGAGGGGGUUGAAUUUGCCUGCAUCCCUCUUUAUACUGUGUGCUUCCCAAGGGUAGAGUCAUAGAUUCCUUCCUAAACUAUUGUCAUAAUUAUUACUUGAGUAGUUAAAUGUCUCUACUGACAAAAUACAUGGAAGUGCAUUAUAAUGAGGCAGAAACAAAACUCUCAGUAACAUUGAUGAUACCACACUGAUCAUCAUGGUUAGAAAGUCAGUCAAGAGUUGUAUCAUUUCACUCAACUUCAUUGUGUCAUUUCAUUCAACUUCACAGGCUUGGGAGUCCUGGCCUGGUUAUUUUGCCUCAUUAGACAUGAAGAAAUGGAGAAAGGCUGAAGGUUAAGAUAUAAGUGCUUGUUCUUCACAUUUCCUUCUUGUUCUUACGUAUACUAUUAGUUUUCUUCUCCUUGUGGCUCCAUUAUUUUCUUUCAAUCUUCUCAGCUUGUAGCUGACUUGCCCUAUUACGCUAAAGACAGCCCUUACACUCGAUCCUGUUUGUGCUGUCAAGGACUAGGUGGUUGGUGCCGGUAGAGGGAGCCCACUGCACAGCGGCAUUCUUACCUUUGCCUGCCCAGGGUGCAGCCUGCUUCUCAUCUCCUAAGAAAGGCCACUUUUGCAACUUCUGAAUUUCUAGAGUAACCAAUCUCAUAUUAGCAACUAAAGUCAAAAUGUUGCCAAAUAUUUAUUCCUUUUGCCUAAGGUUGGUUUUACCCAGUGCAAUUGCUUUUCAUUGUUAAUGUCUUACUCUUCAGAGUUCUUACCUCAAAAGAGCAGCAAGAACAUUUGCUUUUCUUUCUGUAUAAUCCCUAAUCCCAACAAUCCAUCCCUGGACUGUCAAGUUUCCUCCUAUGCUGUCUUCUCUUCCAUUCAAGCAGAAUAUAUGCUAAGAGACCCUUGCCUCUAGCAGUUUCUGCUAUAUCCAAGUAGACUGUUUCCUUUCACAAUUAAAUUAUUAUAUUUAUUAAUUUGAUAGAAUUCAGUAAACCAUUUCUCUAGCUCUGGCUAUACUAUCAAUAAAAAGAUGAAAACAACAAAUCGUUUUUGUUUUUGUUUUUAAGCCUCACUGUUGUUCAAACAUUCUGAGAUGUGUGAGGCUCAGUGUCAGAGCAGGCUGAACAUGACCAGAUUUUUUCUGUAUCAUCACACAAGCUUUGACAGUUGCUCACCUAACCUCAAUAUCUU